CGAAGAGGGACAUGGAACUCCAGGUGUAGUGGUGAAAUGCGUAGAUAUCUGGAAGAACACCAAAGGCGAAGGCAGUGUCCUGGUCGGUACCUGACGCUCAGGUGCGAAAGCUAGGGGAGCGAACGGGAUUAGAUACCCCGGUAGUCCUAGCCGUAAACGAUGACCACUAGAUGUGCGGGGUAUCGACCCCCUGCGUGUCGGAGUUAACGCGAUAAGUGGUCCGCCUGGGGAGUACGGUCGCAAGAUUAAAACUCAAAGGAAUUGACGGGGACCCGCACAAGCAGCGGAGCGUGUGGUUUAAUUCGAUGCAACGCGAAGAACCUUACCAGGGCUUGACAUGCACUCGCACCGCCAGGAGACUGGCGUUCCUUCGGGACGGGUGCACAGGUGCUGCAUGGCUGUCGUCAGCUCGUGUCGUGAGAUGUUGGGUUAAGUCCCGCAACGAGCGCAACCCCUAUCGUCGGUUGGAUGUGUCCGACGAGACUGCCACGAUCAACGUGGAGGAAGGUGGGGAUGACGUCAAGUCAGCACGGCCCUUACGUCCUGGGCGACACACACGCUACAAUGGCCGGUACAAUGAGUUGCCAACCCGCGAGGGGGAGCCAAUCUAGAAAAACCGGUCUCAGUUCGGAUUGGAGGCUGCAACCCGCCUCCAUGAAGUGGGAGUUGCUAGUAACCGUGGGUCAGCACACCACGGUGAAUACGUUCCCGGGUCUUGUACACACCGCCCGUCACACCACGAAAGUCGGCAACACCUGAAGCCGCCGGGCUAACCUCUUUUCGGAGGGGAGGCAAGCGUCGAGGGUGGGGUUGGUGAUUGGGGUGAAGUCGUAACAAGGUACCAAUCCCGCGG
rnacentral:rRNA from 1 species